rnacentral:rRNA from 1 species
AUAACGACUCUCGGCAACGGAUAUCUCGGCUCUCGCAUCGAUGAAGAACGCAGCAAAAUGCGAUACUUGGUGUGAAUUGCAGAAUCCCGUGAAUCAUCGAGUUUUUGAACGCAAGUUGCGCCCGAAGCCAUUCGGCUGAGGGCACGUCUGCCUGGGUGUCACGU